AGUGUAUGUGUGAGUGUGAGUGUGAGUGUGAGUGUGAGUGUGCGUGUGAGUGUGAAUGUGAGUGUGAGUGUGUGAGUCCAUGAUUGUGUGUGAGUGUGAGUGCGUGAGUCCAUGAUUGUGUGUGAGUGUGAGUGUGAGUGUGAGUGUGUGUGUGUGUGUGUGAGUGUGUGUGUGAUUGUUAGUGUGAGUGUGAGUGAGAGUGAGAGUGUUAGUGUGAGUGAGACUACAAGUGAGAGUGAGUAUGUAUGAGUG
rnacentral:lncRNA from 1 species